UUCUCGAUAUUCCUAUAUUUUUUAUAUACAACUAUAAAAAUUAGUAACUGUUAAUUGCUAAAAUAUUUAUAAGUAUAUGUGUGGGCCGAUCACUAGAUAUUGACUAUUUGUCAAUGGGCUUGAACCCAUUACCAUGGCAGGCUGAUUAAUGAACCGCCCUAGUGUGCUAACCUAACUUGAGCUAACUCAUCAUCAAAAAUUGGCUGCCUUUUUCAAUCAGUUUCGGCAGCCUAUUUUCUUGGGCUUAAGCCCAUCAUCCCAGCCAAAGUUGAGCCGCCCCAAACUGUUAUCAUAUAUGUAUACCUAUCGUGUUGUUGUUUAUCUUAAUUUCAAAAACUCUAAACCAACCCUACCCCCAUCAAUUCUGCGUACGGAAGUAGCAACCCCCCCCCCCCUCGUGAUAGCAUCUCGAUUGGUCGAAGUUUGGAUUGGAUUGAUCAAACUGUGAACACAUACUUAAAUCUUACCGAGCAAACCAAAGGUCGUUAGGUAUUUUGGAUCUGGGAACUUGCUGUCUGAAGUAGCUGGAGUGGUCAUGGGUCGACAAGAAGGAUUUAUGCGAUUGAUUUCAUAAAACUAUAUUUGAAUUUCGAAACAGUUUAACUUCGUUUACUAUUUGCUUCCGCUGAACUUAUCGGUUUUCGUUUAAACUUAUUGAAGAUGUUUUUAUUAAUAAUGGGGAUUUUAAUUAUAACUUGUAUGGGUUCAAUGUAAUU